AAAAAAUAUUACAAUAAUAUUGGCGUUAGAAAAUAUAAUUUUAUCAUGUAACCUUUAUAUAAUUUAACCCGAGGCAGUGCUUUAAUUUAACGUGGGGAAGUGAACACACAAAACUGUUAGAAGACUGUUGCUAGGCAACCGUGGACCCGACGCCUUAGCUAGGAGCUAGCUGGGCUAACGCCACAGCUAGGUAUUUUAUACGGCUCUUCCUGAGGUAAAGUGUGUGUAGUAGAGGAGGAGGAAGAACACUAAACUGUGCAGGACAGGGGGUUCUCCAGGACCAGGGCUGUGGAAGAGAAAACACCAGUUGAUGUGGAUACAUGAAUGCAUUCAUCCUUCGCCACUCCGAGAGCAUCUCUAUAGCAACGUCUGCCCAUGAUGGAGUGUCUGUUAUCUCACCAGCCAAUCAAAACGAGCGAUACACAUGUGCAGAGACAAACACACCCCGGUGGUUAUUAUUCCUCCCGGUCAAUGAGGUGUCAGAAUAUGGAAAUGGCACCGAAAGAUAUGUGUCCGGACCAGAAAAAUGUCAACAGAGGCCUGGACUGAAGAACAUAACUAGAUAUGCUCCGUGUUUUUCUGAG
ensembl:lncRNA